rnacentral:lncRNA from 1 species
AAUAUGGAAUUUGAUGAAAAUACCAAAAAUACCCUUCAGUGGCAAGUUACCGUGCAAUUCAAUCCUUUAAUCAAACUGCAUCCCGAAUAUAUAUAUGAGUAUGAAUAUAUGUCAAACUCAAUUUCAUAUUCAUAUCUUUCUCAAUCUUUUAAUGAUAAUUCAAAUAAUGAAACAUUAGAAACUCUUUCUAAUUUUCAUUCUGUUUUGAUCAAAUGCUUCCUGAAUUAUCAUAUGAUUAGAAUAAAUAGGAUGCUAUUUUCUCUUACUAGAAGUGAUUAAUUCCUUGUUGACCUACUCAUAAUCUUCGUAUACAAUUCAUCAUAUUCAGAAGACCUCGUACCCAACUUAUUGUCAUGAAUGAGUGUAAACCAAAACAUGGAUUCAUGUGCACAAGAUACCAUGGUGAUCUCAGGUCAUACGAUCAGUUGCACAACUCCCACUAAGAGAAUCAUCUUUUGACAUGUAAUUAAGACUUCAUAAGAUUUCUCUUUCUAAGUCAAUUCAGUGAACUCAUUUAUCUAAUGAGCACCCACAUCUUUGUAUUAGUGUCUCCACAUAAGUGAUUGUGAGAUCAAUCACCAUCUGCAUCGAGCAUACAUAAGAUGUGCCAGUCUUUCUGGUAAACAUUGAUCCCCGACUCAAUGUACCAAUGACUUGGAAUAUUUAAGAUUAGGAUUUUAAGAUUUUAGGUCUCACUAGUAUGAUCUCAUCAUAGCCUCAAAACCAUUGCCCUAAUCUAAGGAGUUUAUCACAAAUAUAAUCAACAGCAUAUGAUAAACACAAUACCUUUAUUUAUAUUUAAAUGUCAUGUACAUGAUUUGGAGAAUCAAAAGAAAAUUCUUCGCAAUACAUAUUGCGAUUGGCUUGUAGGGCAUCUACUUUUUCAAUCUCCCACUUGCACUAAAAUCGCUCUUAUAUUUCAUCCCUAUACAAUCGAGGUGGCGAUCGAACUGCUGUUGUGGUAGAGCUUUAGUGAACGAGUCUGCUAGGUUGUUCUUUGUGUUUACUCGUUCAAUCACUAUGUCUUGUCUCUCGACGAUCUCUCGAACGAGGUGGAAGCGUCUUAGAAUGUGCUUGAAUUUGUGAUGAGAUCUUGGUUCCUUCGCUUGAGCAAUAGCUCCAGUAUUAUCACAAUAAACUGGAACUGGUUCAGCAAUCUCAGGAACUACUCUUAACUCAGAGAUGAACUUCUUCAUCCAGACAGUUUCCUUACCGGCUUCACUUACAGCAAUGUAUUCUGCCUCAGUAGUUGAGUCAGCUACAGUUUGCUGUUUGGAACUCUUCCAGCUCACUACACCACCAUUUAGGGUAAAGACAUACCCUGAAAUGGACUUGCUAUCAUCUGGGUCUGNNNNNNNNNNNNNNNNNNNNGCUGUUGUGGUAGAGCUUUAGUGAACGAGUCUGCUAGGUUGUUCUUUGUGUUUACUCGUUCAAUCACUAUGUCUUGUCUCUCGACGAUCUCUCGAACGAGGUGGAAGCGUCUUAGAAUGUGCUUGGAUUUGUGAUGAGAUCUUGGUUCCUUUGCUUGAGCAACAGCUCUAGUAUUAUCACAAUAAACUGGAACUGGUUCAGCAAUCUCAGAAACUACUCUUAACUCAGAGAUGAACUUCUUCAUCCAGACAGUUUCUUUACCAGCUUCACUUACAGCAAUGUAUUCUGCCUCAGUAGUUGAGUCAGCUACAGUUUGCUGUUUGGAACUCUUCCAGCUCACUACACCACCAUUUAGGGUAAAGACAUACCCUGAAAUGGACUUGCUAUCAUCUGGGUCUGACGAAAAACUAGAAUCAGAAAAUUCUUCUAGUUUCAACUCAGAUCCUCCAUAAACUAGAAAAAUAUCUUUAGUCCUUCUCAAGUACUUAAGAAUAUUUUUCACAGCUAUCUAAUGAUCCUCUUCUGGAUCAGCCUAAAAUCUGCUUAUUAUGCCUAAGGCAUAAGCAACAUCAGGCCUAGUACAUAGCAUAGCAUACAUAAUCGAUCCUACUGCCGAAGCAUAGGGAAUAGAAUUCAUUCUAUUUCUCUCUUCAGAUGUCUUAGGAGACAUCUUCUUAGAAAGACGUAUGCCAUGACUCAUAGGUAAGUAACCUCUUUUACUUCCUUCCAUGUUGAAUCUUUUCAGCACAUGAUCUAUGUACCUAGACUGGAACAAGUCUACCAUCCUUUUAGAUCUAUCCCUAUAGAUCUUUAUACCAAGUAUAUAGGAUGCUUCUUCCAAGUCUUUCAUGGAAAAGCUUUUUUGAUAGCCAAGUCUUGACCGAUUGUAACAUUGGAAUAUCAUUUCCAAUGAUUAGUAUGUCAUCUACAUACAAUAUUAAGAAGACAAUGGCACUCCCACUAGUCUUCUUGUACACACAUGGUUCAUCCACAUUUUUGAUAAAAGCAAACUCUUGGACUGUUGUAUCAAAACGGAUGUUCCAACUCCUCAAUGCUUGCUUUAAUCCAUAAAUGGAUCUCUUAAGCUUGCAUACUUGAUUUGCUCUCCCACUUGAGACAAAUCUUUCUGGCUGUGUCAUGUAAACCUCUUCCUCAAGAUAACCAUUAAGGAAGGCGGUUUUGACAUCCAUCUGCCAGAUUUCAUAAUCAUAGUAUGCAGCUAUUGCAAGCAAAAUCCGAAUAAAUUUAAGCAUGGCAACUGAUGAAAAAAGUUNNNNNNNNNNNNNNNNNNNNNNNNNNNNNNNNNNNNNNNNNNNNNNNNNNNNNNNNNNNNNNNNNNNNNNNNNNNNNNNNNNNNNNNNNNNNNNNNNNNNNNNNNNNNNNNNNNNNNNNNNNNNNNNNNNAACCUAUAGGGUUUACACCUUCUGGUGCAUCAACCAAAGUCCAUACUUGGUUGGUAUACAUAGAGUCUAUUUCGGAUUUCAUAGCUUCUAACUAUUUGUUAGAGUCAUUACUCAUGAUAGCUUCCAAAUAGGUCAGAGGAUCAUCAUUUUCAACGAUGUGGGCUUCAUCAUUCUCAAUGAUAAACCCAUACCUCUUAGGUGCAUUUCGCACUCUAUUUGAACUUUGGAGAGGAGAUAUGUGUUAUGGUUGUACUUCAUCAAUGGGUACAUCUGGUUGAGGAAAAUCUUGUGUUUCCAUUUGUAGGUCUUGAACUUCUUCAAGUUCAAUUCUCCUAUCCUUGUCUUUUUCUAAGAUAAACUCUUUCUCUAAAAAAGUUGCAUGUCUACCUACAAAAACCUUUUGUUCGGUAGGAUGAUAGAAGAUGUGUCCUAUACUAUCUUUAGGAUAACCUACAAAAAUACAUUUAUCUGAUCUAGCACUUAGCUUGUGUCCAAAAUUUCUUUUGACAUAAGCUUUACAACCCCAUAUAUUAAGAUACUUAAGAUUAGGCUUCUUUCCUCUCCAUAUCUCAUAUGGAGUACUAGAUACACAUUUUGAUGGUACCCUAUUUAAUACAAGUGCAGCAGUUUCUAGGGCAAAACCCCAGAAGAAAAUAGGAAGAUCUGUAAAGCACAUCAUGGACCGUACCAUAUCUAAUAGAGUACGAUUUCUCCAUUCGGCUACACCAUUUAAUUGUGGCGUAUACGGAGGUGUCCAUUUAGAGAGAAUGCCUUUUUUUUUAAGAUAAUUUAAAAAAUCACUAGAAAGGUAUUCACCUCCUCGAUCAGAUCGAUGGAUUUUAAUACACUUUUCGGUUUGUUUUUCAACCAUAUUUUGAUACUCUUUAAACUUAUCAAAGGCUUCGGAUUUAUGUUUCAUAAUAUACACAUAUCCGAACCUUGAUAAAUCAUCAGUGAAUGUGAUGAAGUAAGAGUAUCCACCUUUAGCUGAAGUUGUCAUAGGACCACAUACAUCUGUAUGCACAAGUCCUAAUAACUCACUUGCCCUUUCUCCAUUCAUUGGACAUGGAGGAAUGGAGACUUAGUCAUUUUAUCCAUAAGACAAAAUUCACAAGUUUCUAUUGAUUCAUAAUCAUAAGGAUCCAAGAACUCUUCUUUGUACAACUUGUUGAUUCUUGAUUCGCUUAUGUGACCAAGUCGGCAAUGCCAAAGAAGGGUGUUAUUUACUUCUUCUCUCUUUCUUUUAUUGCUUUUAUCAAUAUGAAAGACAUUGUCAUUAAGUAAUAGAACAAAAAAACCAUUUUUCAUAAUGCCAUUGCAAUAGACUUUAUUAGAAAAAGAAAUUGAGCAACCAUUGCUCUUUACAUUAAUUUCAUAUCCUUUCUUUAACAACAAAGGAAUGAAAAUUACAUUCUAAUAAUUUUGGACAUAUAAUAAUAAUCUUCUAAUUCUAGGAGCUCUUCCGAGGGCAACUCCAAAUGGUAGAUUCCAACAGCUUUAGCCUGAAUAGACUCUCCUCCAGCACCAUAUAGCUCGAAAUCACCUUUCUUCAAACUUCUAAUUUUCUGUAGUCUAUGCAAAGAUUUGCAAAUAUGAGAACCACAGCCGGUAUCCAAUACCCAUGAAUUUAAAUUUGAAGAACUUAAUGACAAAUUGGCAUGUAACAUAAACAUACCUUUUGAUGCAACUUUUGCAUCCUGCUUUACACUUGCAAGAAAAUUUUUACAAUUCCUCUUCCAGUGACCUUCCUUGCCGCAAUGGAAAUAGGUACUUGGUUUGGAGAUUUUCUUUCCUUUCUUUUUCUUAUUGAUGCUUCCUUUAGGGUUCAACCUUUUCUUAGAACCCUUAUUGCCUGACUUUUUUCUGAAGGCACCAUCUACAAGAAGAAUUGGACCCUUCUCUUUCUUGAUGUGGCCCUCAGCUAUUUUGAGCAUGUUUAAUAGCUCAGGCAAAGAGGUAUUCAGUUUGUUCAUAUGAUAGUUCACAACAAACUGAGAGAAUGAAUCAGGUAGUGAUUGCAGGAUCAAAUCAUGAUUGAGCUCGCUGUCCAUAGCAAAACCUAACUGACUUAAUCUGGUGAUCAAGUUUCUAACCAUAAGACAAUGGUUUUGCACAGAUGUCCCUUCAUUCAUUCUAGCACGGAAUAUCUUCUUGGAUAUCUCAUAUCUAGCAGUCCUGCUUUGCUCUCCAUAUAGUUCCUUUAAAUUAAGAAGUAUGGAGAGAGUAUCCAUGCUAUCAUGUUGCCUCUGUAGCUCAUUGCUCAUGGAGGCAAGCAUGAUACAUUUGACAGUCAAACUGUCAUUCUUCCACAUCUUGUGUAUGGCAAUCUCUUCUUCAGUAGCAUCAUCCCCUAGAUCUCCAAGAUCAGAGGUUUCAAGAAUAUAGAAAAUUUUCUCCUGAGUGAGUACAAUCUUAAGAUUCCUCAACCAGUCCACAUAGUUUGGCCGGUUAACUUGUUGGCAUCUAAGAUGCCUCUUAGUGAUAGUGAAGAUGACAUUUAAUAAUUCUACAUAAGCAAGAACAAAACUACCAUAAGCAGACCAAUCAUGAUGACAUAUAUGCAAUUAGACUAGGACUUUAUCUAAUUGUUUCCUACUAUUUUAAUCGAAUAUCAUAGCCCUCUCCUAUGAUAAAUGGAAAAACUUAAUCUUUCUUAGUAGGGUUAAGAUCCUAAUUCAUCAUAAAAGUCUUGUGGUUACACAACAAACCCUUAUGAGUUCAAAGGUAGGAAACUCUUUCCAAUUACAUCUCAUGCAAUUCUCAACUUUAUCUUGUCCUCUUAAAACAUUUAUAGCCUUGUGGUUGCACAACAAACUAUAAUGUUUUAGUUAAGUCAAACCCUUCAUUUCCUUACAGUCAUAUUCAAAUAAUAUUGCUCUUGUGGUUGCACAACAAAGCAAAUAUUAAAAUAUGCCAUAAGCAUCUCUAUGCACCAAGACAGUAUAACAUCAGUCCCCAUUGCAAGCCUUGUGGUUGUACAACAAACUAGCAUUGAUCUUGACAUAAUAAUGUUGAGGCAUGAAGGAAGGCUAUUAAUAGUAUUAUAUCAACAUUAAGCUUAUCCAUAAUAGACAAUCAAACAAUUGGCCAGGUAAGCAGGUGGGAGGCUCCCCUUACUCAGAGAGUAAGGUCCUAAUUAGAGAACCACCUUUAGUGCUUUCCUUAGACACCAAUUAGAUUAAUUGUUCUAGAAUGGAUUAGCCCAAAGUUUUUUAAUACUAUGACUUAAUAUAAUUUUUAUUGAGGGCUAACUGGUCUCAUGCACAUUCUAUAAUUGUAACAUACUGAAUAUGUCUUUGUAUAUGUUACAACAAAUUAUAUAUCUAUCUCAUAGCAUAUAUAUAUCAUAACCAACUAUCAUGCAUCAUAGCUAUCUCAUAGCAUGUACAAAUCAUAAGCAAUUGAUUGAAUCAAUUAACAUGCUUCAACAUAUCUUCAUAUGGAAAAUUCAUAUCAUGACAUUUUAUUAUAUAUCAUAACAUAUAUGAAUCAUACAUUCCAGCAGUUCACUAAGCAUAUGACAUUACUAUCUCAUAGUAAACUAAUAAUCAUACAUCAUACAUAAUCAUUUGAUUGAACUAAUUAAGGAUGGCUCUGAUACCACUGAAGGGUUUUAGCAUGUUAUAAUGCGCAGCGGAAGCUAAAAAUUUUAAAAAUUUUUUAAUAAAGUUUCUUAACAUUAAACCUUUAUAAGCCUAGAUCACCUUAAUAGAAGCAAUCAAAUAAUAUAAUAUAAAUGCAGAAACAGAAGAAUACCUCUAACGCUAAUCUAAUGUGCAGAAUUUUUACUAGGUGCCCAAAUGUUCACCCUCCAACGUUGAUCCAAAGACUUAAUCACCUUAAAACUUAAUUCAAGUCUUAAGCUCCAAAGACUUUGAUCCUUAAUGCAGAAUUCUUCUAAAGAACUCUAAUGGCUUGCUUUCCUUCCUUUCUAUUUUUCUUUCACCUUCUAAAAUCACUUUUAAUCCUUUUGUCCUAAAGAAGACUACCUUGUCUUGGAUUAGGACACCCUAGAAGCAAUGCUAGAAAGAGACAAAGCCUUGUAAGAAAGAAGGGAUAAGGGAGAGAGAAUGCGGUGGAGUUGGAAUAAUGAAACCCAUGGAGCGCUAGCCUAUUUAUAAUAGGCAUAGGGAUGCAUCUUCAAGGGAUGCAUCCCAUCCACACAUCCUUUUAUGAAAGGGCAUCAUCUNNNNNNNNNNNNNNNNNNNNNNNNNNNNNNNNNNNNNNNNNNNNNNNNNNNNNNNNNNNNNNNNNNNNNNNNNNNNNNNNNNNNNNNNNNNNNNNNNNNNNNNNNNNNNNNNNNNNNNNACCCAUUAUGUCUUUAUCCAAUGGUGGAAUUAAGAUCCAAUGGUCAAUUAUGAUAGCCAUCCUCUAACCCAAUCCAAUUGGGUUAAACCAACUCUCCAUUAUGUCUUCAUCCAACAGUAGAUCAAGAUCUAGCGGUCUAGAUUGAAUGAUUUAUCAAAUCUAAUCCAAUUAGACUCAAACCAAGCCAAUUUGGUGCCAACUCUUGGCUAACCCAUAUUAGAACAUGAACUAAUCAAAUUAGAUCAAUUAAGAAUCAAAUUCGAAUCCAAUUCGAAUCAGAUUCGAAUCCAAUUCGAAUCAGAUUCGAAUCCAAUUCGAAUCAGGAGCUAAGGGUUUGCAACACCUGCUAGGAUAUUUAUCUUGCAAACAUGAUCUAAUCCAAUUUGACCCUUGAUAAGUUUUCUUGUGUGUGACCCCUUGGGUUCCAUACUUAGCCAGCAAUAGGUGUGAGUGCGAGUUGACCCAACUUGAUUAGAACUCUUCUAAUUGAUUUAAGUCCAAACUGCGCGAACCCGAACUUAACAAUUAGAAUCCUUUCUAAUUGGUGAUCGAAUUAAACUCUUUAAUUCGAUCAAACCUAUAAGACAAGAUUGACGUCUAGCAACGUGUCAUGUCUAUCCGAAAAAUAUGAAAUUUGGUAGAAAUACCAAAAAUACCCUUCAGUGGCAAGUUACCAUGCAAUUCAAUCCUUUAAUUAAACUGCAUUCCGAAUAUGUAUAUGAGUAUGAAUAUAUGUCAAACUCAAUUUCAUAUUCAUAUCUUUCUCAAUCUUUUAAUGAUAAUUCAAGUAACGAAACAUUAGAAACUCUUUCUAAUUUUCAUUCUGCUUUGAUCAAAGGCUUUCUGAAUUAUCAUAUGAUUAGAAUAAAUAGGAUGUUAUCUUCUCUUACUAGAAGUGAUUAAUUCCUUAUUGACCUACUCAUAAUCUUCGUACACAAUUCACCAUAUCCAGAAGACCUCGUACACAACUUAUUGUUAUGAAUGAGUGUAAACCAAGACAUGGAUUCAUGUGCACAAGAUACCAUGGUGAUCUCAGGUCAUAGGAUCAGUUGCACAACUUCCACGAAGAGAAU